rnacentral:lncRNA from 1 species
GCUUGCUGCCACACUUGAGGCAUCUGCAUAUGAAUCUCACAUGUAGUUGAGAAAUCAUGGAUGUGGCAACUGUGAGUGUUUGAAGAAGUGAAGCAUUGCUGUACUCACAAAAUGCCAUGAAACUUGAAAUUAAACCUAAAGACCUUAUUAGACUCAAAUCACAUAUUUUUGGCAAGAAAAUUGUAUUGUUCAUGCUAUCAAUUGCCUUUUGUGUUAUAUGAGAAGGACCAACUCAGGGAAGAAGUUCAUUGGUACAAACCCCACACCAUGGGACCCCUGGAGGACUAUACCUUAGAAGCAGGGAUGAAAGAGAGACUGCCAUUCCCGUGGUUACAGCUAUUGAAAUGACACCCAUAGAAAACAGAAGAAAAUAAUUAGCUUCCACUCAUUUCCAAACCCAGUACUUUCUGGGACUCAGACUGGCUCUUCUUGCU